rnacentral:rRNA from 1 species
GACGAACCGUCCAAACGUUAUUCGGAAUCACUGGGCUUAAAGGGUGCGUAGGCGGCCAUGUAAGUUGGGUGUGAAAUCCCUCGGCUCAACCGAGGAACUGCGCUCAAAACUACAUGGCUUGAGGGAGUCAGAGGUGAGCGGAACUUAGGGUGGAGCGGUGAAAUGCGUUGAUAUCCUAAGGAACACCAGUUGCGAAGGCGGCUCACUGGGACUCUUCUGACGCUGAGGCACGAAAGCUAGGGGAGCGAAGAGGAUUAGAUACCCUCGUAGUCCUAGCUGUAAACGUUGAGCACUUGGUCGGAGAAUCCUCCAUAGUUUUCCGGCCGUAGCGAAAGCGGUAAGUGCUCCGCCUGGGGAGUAUGGUCGCAAGGCUGAA